GUGUCAGCCGCCGCGGUAAUACAGAGGGUGCAAGCGUUAAUCGGAAUUACUGGGCGUAAAGCGCACGCAGGCGGCUGCAUAAGCCGGUCGUGAAAUCCCCGGGCUUAACCUGGGAAUUGCGAUCGGGACUGUGCGGCUAGAGUGUUGGAGAGGACAGCGGAAUUCCCGGUGUAGCAGUGAAAUGCGUAGAUAUCGGGAGGAACAUCAGUGGCGAAGGCGGCUGUCUGGCCAAACACUGACGCUCAGGUGCGAAAGCGUGGGGAGCAAACAGGAUUAGAUACCCGCGUAGUCC
rnacentral:rRNA from 1 species